rnacentral:rRNA from 1 species
UACGUAGGUCCCGAGCGUUGUCCGGAUUUAUUGGGCGUAAAGCGAGCGCAGGUGGUUUAUUAAGUCUGGUGUAAAAGGCAGUGGCUCAACCCCCGGACUGCUCUGGAAACUAUGUUACUAGAGUGCAGGAGAGGUAAGCGGAAUUCCUAGUGUAGCGGUGAAAUGCGUAGAUAUUAGGAGGAACACCAGUGGCGAAGGCGGCUUACUGGACUGUAACUGACGUUGAGGCUCGAAAGCGUGGGGAGCAAACAGG